GAUAACUAGUUUCACUACAGGCUAGGUCGGGUCUAACGGCAUGUUCAAAUCAUCCCAGCGUUCCUCUGUAUGGCUGCCGAUUAGCAUCUGUUAGCUAACGUUAGCUGCCAUGUAUGUGAAUGACAUGUGCAAUAAAAUGAGAAGUUACGGUUUUGUCUUUUGUUUUUCCCUGUUCAUGUCCGCGAGUAACUAUGUUAGUAUAUUUGAAAAGAGACAUUCCUGGUGAGUUUUUCCAUUGUAAAUCUCGUGUGCCGAGUGCUUUCGUUUUAAAACAGGCAACUCGUGGAAACACCCCGUCAAAAUAAACGCGCGUGCGCCCGGCUACGGUACGGCGGAUGACACUGUGUUCACCACGCCCAGCCCAGCACACAACUCCACUACAUAAAGCAUGAGUGACCUCACGGAGAGCCGACACAGCAACAAGAUCCGACGUGUCUCAGCUAACUAAGAUAGCCUACUUGAAACUAUGGAAGAAUCCACAGUAAUAUGGCAUCACCUUUACAAUGAAUACAUCACGCGUGGUUCGCAAACAGAACGGUUUGGAAUGGGAACAUCCGAUGUUGCCGAAAACCUGACAACGGCAGACAGAUUUAGAGGGAUAUGCAUCCGACGAUAACCUGAAUAGAAGCUCGGGCCCUGGUAUAUGCAACCUGGCACUUUCAUGCAUUUCAAGAAUUGGGGUCGUUCUCAGUCGCUACUGCUGCUGCUGCUGUGCACCUCAGGACAUCAUUGAGGGUACCCCUAACUUUGAUUUCUGCUUACGAUUCUAAUAGCUGGUUUGUUUGGCUGAAUUAGCAUGUGUGAUUUAAGGAUUAAGGAUUUAUUUAAGGACUUUAGGAAUUAUGCUGUGUGCUUUUUAGACACUGUGUUACAAUGGACUGUCCUGAGUAUGCACCCACUUAAGAGUGCGUUCAUAUUAACACGAGCAUAAGUGGCUGCACAGUAAAAUGUUUGGAUUUCAACUCUUGCAGAGUUAAUUUAUUGUGUAUGAACACAAUCAAUCAAUCAACCUAUAUUUACACUUGGAAGGACACAUUGAGGAAUAAGGGCCCUCCUUCGCAAGUGUGCCAAGUUUACAAUUUACAACAAAAAAUUGAAACAAAACCGUGUUCUAACAUCUUAAAUUGCACAAUUGUGUAAAUGUGUCUAUCGCUGUAAAGCACAGUUGGCCUCAUUUAUCAACAUGUUCUCAGAAACCACAUGUGAAAUUCAUGAGCAAUUGGGAAAAUAAACGAACAGAUUGGCAUCGGCAGAAUUCUUGAGAAGUCGUUGCUGUCUGGUGAGCCCUGCACAGAGCCGGAAGGAGGUGUAGUGUGAACCAGCUCACCAGCCUCAAAGUGCACGAUCUGCCAAAUCCAUCAACUCACCAGCCUCAAAGUGCACGAUCUGCCAAAUCCAUCAACUCACCAGCCUCAAAGUGCACGAUCUGCCAAAUCCAUCAGCUCACCAGCCUCAAAGUGCACGAUCUGCCAAAUCCAUCAGCUCACCAGCCUCAAAGUGCACGAUCUGCCAAAUCCAUCAACUCACCAGCCUCAAAGUGCACGAUCUGCCAAAUCCAUCAACUCACCAGCCUCAAAGUGCACGAUCUGCCAAAUCCAUCAACUCACCAGCCUCAAAGUGCACGAUCUGCCAAAUCCAUCAGCUCACCAGCCUCAAAGUGCACGAUCUGCCAAAUCCAUCAACUCACCAGCCUCAAAGUGCACGAUCUGCCAAAUCCAUCAAGGCAUCGGGUCGAGGAGGCAGCCUUGAGCAAAGCCCUUAAACCCGCAUUGCUCCAGGGGAGAUUGUCCCCUGCUUAGUCUAAUCAACUAACCUGAGCUCCGUUUUCCUUGCCAGGAGACUUCACAGAGUUCUGUUCAGCCCUUGUAGAGGAGUCUUCUGAAGCAGCCCCUGCAACAUUCAUUCAUCAUCCAUCAUCUUAACCCACUUAUCCUGAACAGGGUCGCAGGGGGGCUGGAGCCUAUCCCAGCAUACAUUGGGCGAAAGGCAGGAAUGCACCCCGGACAGGUCGCCAGUCCAUCGUCCCCUGCAACAUGUACACUCUUAAAUCUCCGAACCAAACUGCGGGCAGCGGAGAGAAAAUGGAAAAGGUCCUGUCUCCCCACUGAUAUGGCUUCCUUCCAUGCCCUCUUAUCUUUCCAUUCCUCUGUCUCUCUAGCUAAAUCUUCCUCCUUUCACUCGAAAAUUAACGCGGCCGCCUCUAAUCCCCGCAAACUGUUUUCAACCUUCUCCUCUCUUCUGCCCCCCCCCACCCCCCCCCAUCACUCACACCUGAUGACUUUGUCUCCUUUGAAAAGAAGGUUGACGCCAUUUGUAAUUCCUUCUCCCAACCCUCUCCCCCUGCUGACCCUCCUACCUUCCCCAACUCCCUAGCCUCCUUUUCUCCCCUCUCUGACUCCUCUCGUCAUUUCCCACCAGGAUUACUGGAUCUCCCUCCUAGUCGGUCUCCCAGCGUGUGCAUCAAGCUCCUCCAGCUGGUCCAGAAUGCUGCACCAGUCAGCCCAGGUCGGGUCAUGUCACCCAGCUUCUCAUUGGCCUCCACUGGCUUCCUAUUGCCGCACGCAUCCGAUUCAAGGCCCUAGUGUUGGCAUUUCAGGCAGCUAAGGGGACUGCCCCACCUUACAUACAAUCCUUGAUCAUUCCCUACUCAUUACAUUACAUUACAUUAUUGGCAUACGCUCUUAUCCAGAGCGACGUACAGUUGAUUAGACUAAGCAGGAGACAAUCCUCCCCUGGAGCAAUGCAGGGUUAAGGGCCUUGCUCAAGGGCCCAACGGCUGUGCGGAUCUUAUUGUGGCUACACCGGGAUUAGAACCACCGACCUUGCGUGUCCCAGUCAUUUACCUUAACCACUACGCUACAGGCCGCCCUACUCCCCAGUUAGACCAGUCUGGUCUGCCAGCUCUGGUCGCCUUAUGGUUUCCUCUCUAUGAGCACCUGGCGGUCGAGCUGCACAUUCACGCCUUUUUUCCGUUCUGGUUCCUCAGUGGUGGAAUGACUUGCCUACCACUGUCAGGACAGCAGAAUCCCUCCCCCUAUUUCGACGCUGACUAAAAACACACCUUUUCAAACUCUACCUUAGUCCUCCCUCCUGAUUUCCCCCGCCCCCCUUUCUGAUAUCCCUAUCCCUCUUGUUAUAUGCUAUAUGUUUAGAACAGCACUUCAUGUGUAUUUUCCUAGUUAUGGAUGUGAUGCUUUGACUUGUGGAAGAACCUAUGCACUUGUAAGUCGCUUUGGAUUAAAAGCAUCUGCCAAAUGACUAAAAUGUAAAUGUAAAUUUUAGUUUUUAAUUUUCUCCUUCAUAACAGAAUAUUAGCAUUAGUUUGGGUGACUGCACUUUUAGAAAUUAAUAUAAUGUAUUUAAAUUGUAGUAUGUAUGUAUACACAUACUUUAUAUUUGUGCACAAAUACUUUAUAUUUAUAUUAUAUAUUUUUAAAAGAAAUUUAAUGUUGACAUUUGAAAUAUGAAAUGUAUACGAAGAAAUAAUUGUAUUGUUUUAUAUUUUCUUAAAUGUAAAUAACCUGUCACAGAAUUUGAGUUUAGAUUCCUCCAACUUGCGUAGAGGAAUGUAUGAAGACUUCCUCCUGGCUAGAUCCCCCCUUUGUUUAGAAAUUGUACUUAAACUGUGCCAUGUUUCAAUAUUGGUGUGUAAGAUUGCUGAAAGCUCAGGAGAACGUACACACUACCUGGAACCACGAAUAAAGAGCUGAACUUGUCUAAAAUCCUCGAA